AGCGUACACGGUGGAUGCCCUGGCAGUCAGAGGCGAUGAAGGACGUGCUAAUCUGCGAAAAGCGUCGGUAAGGUGAUAUGAACCGUUAUAGCCGGCGAUGUCCGAAUGGGGAAACCCAGUGCAAUUCGUUGCACUAUCGUUUGAUGAAUACAUAGUCAAACGAGGCGAACCGGGGGAACUGAAACAUCUAAGUACCCCGAGGAAAAGAAAUCAACCGAGAUUCCCCCAGUAGCGGCGAGCGAACGGGGAGCAGCCCGGAGUCUGAAUCAGCUUGUGUGUUAGUGGAAGCGUCUGGAAAGUCGCAGGGUACAGGGUGAUACUCCCGUACACUAAAAUGCACAGGUUGUGAACUCGAAGAGUAGGGCGGGACACGUGGUAUCCUGUCUGAAUAUGGGGGGACCAUCCUCCAAGGCUAAAUACUCCUGACUGACCGAUAGUGAACCAGUACCGUGAGGGAAAGGCGAAAAGAACCCCGGCGAGGGGAGUGAAAAAGAACCUGAAACCGUGUACGUACAAGCAGUAGGAGCCCACUUGUUGGGUGACUGCGUACCUUUUGUAUAAUGGGUCAGCGACUUAUAUUCUGUAGCAAGGUUAACCGUAUAGGGGAGCCGCAGGGAAACCGAGUCUUAACUGGGCGUUAAGUUGCAGGGUAUAGACCCGAAACCCGGUGAUCUAGCCAUGGGCAGGUUGAAGGUUGGGUAACACUAACUGGAGGACCGAACCGACUAAUGUUGAAAAAUUAGCGGAUGACUUGUGGCUGGGGGUGAAAGGCCAAUCAAACCGGGAGAUAGCUGGUUCUCCCCGAAAGCUAUUUAGGUAGCGCCUCGUGAACUCAUCUUCGGGGGUAGAGCACUGUUUCGGCUAGGGGGUCAUCCCGACUUACCAACCCGAUGCAAACUACGAAUACCGAAGAAUGUUAUCACGGGAGACACACGGCGGGUGCUAACGUCCGUCGUGAAGAGGGAAACAACCCAGACCGCCAGCUAAGGUCCCAAAGUCAUGGUUAAGUGGGAAACGAUGUGGGAAGGCCCAGACAGCCAGGAUGUUGGCUUAGAAGCAGCCAUCAUUUAAAGAAAGCGUAAUAGCUCACUGGUCGAGUCGGCCUGCGCGGAAGAUGUAACGGGGCUAAACCAUGCACCGAAGCUGCGGCAGCGACGCUUAUGCGUUGUUGGGUAGGGGAGCGUUCUGUAAGCCGUUGAAGGUGGCCUGUGAGGGUUGCUGGAGGUAUCAGAAGUGCGAAUGCUGACAUAAGUAACGAUAAUGCGGGUGAAAAACCCGCACGCCGGAAGACCAAGGGUUCCUGUCCAACGUUAAUCGGGGCAGGGUGAGUCGACCCCUAAGGCGAGGCCGAAAGGCGUAGUCGAUGGGAAACAGGUUAAUAUUCCUGUACUCGGUGUUACUGCGAAGGGGGGACGGAGAAGGCUAUGUUGGCCGGGCGACGGUUGUCCCGGUUUAAGCAUGUAGGCGGAUGUUCCAGGUAAAUCCGGAACGUUACUAACGCUGAGGUGUGAUGACGAGGCACUACGGUGCUGAAGUGACAAAUGCCCUGCUUCCAGGAAAAGCCUCUAAGCAUCAGGUAACAUCAAAUCGUACCCCAAACCGACACAGGUGGUCAGGUAGAGAAUACCAAGGCGCUUGAGAGAACUCGGGUGAAGGAACUAGGCAAAAUGGUGCCGUAACUUCGGGAGAAGGCACGCUGAUGGUAAGUGAAGUGACUUGCUCAUGGAGCUGAAAUCAGUCGAAGAUACCAGCUGGCUGCAACUGUUUAUUAAAAACACAGCACUGUGCAAACACGAAAGUGGACGUAUACGGUGUGACGCCUGCCCGGUGCCGGAAGGUUAAUUGAUGGGGUUAUCCGUAAGGAGAAGCUCUUGAUCGAAGCCCCGGUAAACGGCGGCCGUAACUAUAACGGUCCUAAGGUAGCGAAAUUCCUUGUCGGGUAAGUUCCGACCUGCACGAAUGGCGUAAUGAUGGCCAGGCUGUCUCCACCCGAGACUCAGUGAAAUUGAACUCGCUGUGAAGAUGCAGUGUACCCGCGGCAAGACGGAAAGACCCCGUGAACCUUUACUAUAGCUUGACACUGAACACUGGUCCUUGAUGUGUAGGAUAGGUGGGAGGCUUUGAAGUGUGGACGCCAGUCUGCAUGGAGCCAUCCUUGAAAUACCACCCUUUAAUGGCUGGUGUUCUAACGUGGGCCCGUAAUCCGGGUUGCGGACAGUGUCUGGUGGGUAGUUUGACUGGGGCGGUCUCCUCCUAAAGAGUAACGGAGGAGCACGAAGGUCAGCUAAUCCUGGUCGGACAUCAGGAGGUUAGUGCAAUGGCAUAAGCUGGCUUGACUGCGAGCGUGACGGCGCGAGCAGGUGCGAAAGCAGGUCAUAGUGAUCCGGUGGUUCUGAAUGGAAGGGCCAUCGCUCAACGGAUAAAAGGUACUCCGGGGAUAACAGGCUGAUACCGCCCAAGAGUUCAUAUCGACGGCGGUGUUUGGCACCUCGAUGUCGGCUCAUCACAUCCUGGGGCUGAAGUAGGUCCCAAGGGUAUGGCUGUUCGCCAUUUAAAGUGGUACGCGAGCUGGGUUUAGAACGUCGUGAGACAGUUCGGUCCCUAUCUGCCGUGGGCGCUGGAGAAUUGAGGGGGGCUGCUCCUAGUACGAGAGGACCGGAGUGGACGCAUCACUGGUGUUCGGGUUGUCAUGCCAAUGGCAUUGCCCGGUAGCUAAAUGCGGAAGAGAUAAGUGCUGAAAGCAUCUAAGCACGAAACUUGCCCCGAGAUGAGUUCUCCCUGACUCCUUGA
rnacentral:rRNA from 1 species